AGGGUUGUAGUUAAUUAUAACAUUUGAUUUGCAUUCAAAAAGUACUACAUUAUAGUCUACCUUA
rnacentral:tRNA from 1 species